UCUGGCACCUUCGGUGUCCGAGUUGUAAUUUGAAGAAGGUAACUUCUGGAGUUGGCUCUUGUCUAUGUUCCUUGGAACAGGACGUCACAGAGGGUGAGAAUCCCGUGCGAUGAGAUGUCCAACUCUAUGUAAAGUGCUUUCGAAGAGUCGAGUUGUUUGGGAAUGCAGCUCUAAGUGGGUGGUAAAUUCCAUCUAAAGCUAAAUAUUGGCGAGAGACCGAUAGCGAACAAGUACAGUGAUGGAAAGAUGAAAAGAACUUUGAAAAGAGAGUGAAAAAGUACGUGAAAUUGUUGAAAGGGAAGGGUUUGAGAUCAGACUUGGUAUUUUGUAUGUCUUGCUUUCGGGUGGGGCCUCUGCAGUUUACUGGGCCAGCAUCGGUUUGGACGGUAGGAUAAUGACAUUGGAAUGUGGCACUACUUCGGUGGUGUGUUAUAGACUUUGUUGAUACUGCCUGUCUAGACCGAGGACUG
rnacentral:rRNA from 1 species